GACGAACGCUGGCGGCGUGCUUAACACAUGCAAGUCGAACGGAAAGGCCCGGCGCUUGCGGGGUGCUCGUUUGGCGAACGGGGGAGUAACACGUGAGUAUCCUGCCCCUGACUGUGGGAUAACUUCAGGAAACUGGGGCUAAUAUCGGAUAGGAGCUCCUGCUGCACGGGGGGGGUUGGAAAGUUUCGGCGGUUGGGGAUGGUCUCGCGGCUUAUCCGCUUGUUGGGGGGGUAGUGGCUGACCAAGGCUUUGACGGGUAGCCGGCCUGAGAGGGUGACCGGCCACAUGGGGCCUGCGAUACGGCCCAGACUCCUACGGGAGGCAGCAGUGGGGAAUAUUGCAGAAUGGGCGGAAGCCUGAUGCGGCAGCGCCGCGUGCGGAAUGACGGCCUUCGAGUUGUGAACAGCUUUGGCCUGUGACGAAGAGUGAGUGACGGUACUGGAUCAAGAAGCCCCGGCUAACUACGUG
rnacentral:rRNA from 1 species